AAUGAGUUAACUAGUAUGAAGCUUAACAAAACGAAUUUCAGCUAAGCCACCCGAAACCAGACGAGCUACCUAUGAACAGUUUAUUAAGAACCAACUCAUCUAUGUA
rnacentral:rRNA from 1 species